rnacentral:rRNA from 1 species
UCCUGCCGGACCUGACUGCUAUCGGAUUGAUACUAAGCCAUGCGAGUCAUUGCAGCAAUGCAAGGCAGACGGCUCAGUAACGCGUAGUCAACCUAACCUAUGGACGGGAAUAACCUCGGGAAACUGAGAAUAAUGCCCGAUAGAACACUAUACCUGGAAUGGUUUGUGUUCCAAAUGAUUUAUCGCCGUAGGAUGGGACUGCGGCCUAUCAGUUUGUUGGUGAGGUAAUGGCCCACCAAGACUAUUACAGGUACGGGCUCUGAGAGGAGUAGCCCGGAGAUGGGUACUGAGACACGGACCCAGGCCCUAUGGGGCGCAGCAGGCGAGAAAACUUUGCAAUGUGCGAAAGCACGACAAGGUUAAUCCGAGUGGUUUCUGCUAAAGGAACCUUUUGUUAGUCCUAGAAACACUAACGAAUAAGGGGUGGGCAAGUUCUGGUGUCAGCCGCCGCGGUAAAACCAGCACCUCAAGUGGUCAGGAUGAUUAUUGGGCCUAAAGCAUCCGUAGCCGGCUCUGUAAGUUUUCGGUUAAAUCUGUACGCUCAACGUACAGGCUGCCGGGAAUACUGCAGAGCUAGGGAGUGGGAGAGGUAGACGGUACUCGGGAGGAAGUGGUAAAAUGCUUUGAUCUCUCGAUGACCACCUGUGGCGAAGGCGGUCUACCAGAACACGUCCGACGGUGAGGGAUGAAAGCUGGGGGAGCAAACCGGAUUAGAUACCCGGGUAGUCCCAGCUGUAAACUAUGCAAACUAAGUGAUGCAUUGGCUUGUGGCCAAUGCAGUAUUUCAGGGAAGCCGUUAAGUUUGCCGCCUGGGAAGUACGUACGCAAGUAUGAAACUUAAAGGAAUUGGCGGGGGAGCACCACAAGGGGUGAAGCCUGCGGUUCAAU